rnacentral:rRNA from 1 species
AUUGAACGCUGGCGGCAUGCUUUACACAUGCGAGUCGAACGGCAGCGGGGUAGUGCUUGCACUACUGCCGGCGAGUGGCGAACGGGUGAGUAAUAUAUCGGAACGUACCGAGUAAUGGGGGAUAACCAAUCGAAAGAUUGGCUAAUACCGCAUACGUCCUGAGGGAGAAAGCGGGGGAUCGCAAGACCUCGCGUUAUUCGAGCGGCCGAUAACUGAUUAGCUAGUUGGUGGGGUAAAGGCCUACCAAGGCGACGAUCAGUAGCGGGUCUGAGAGGACGAUCCGCCACACUGGGACUGAGACACGGCCCAGACUCCUACGGGAGGCAGCAGUGGGGAAUUUUGGACAAUGGGGGCAACCCUGAUCCAGCCAUGCCGCGUGUAUGAAGAAGGCCUUCGGGUUGUAAAGUACUUUUGUUAGGGAAGAAAAGGGAAGUGCUAAUACCACUUUUUGCUGACGGUACCUAAAGAAUAAGCACCGGCUAACUACGUG